AUAAUAUAGAAGUAGCUAUGUGGCUAGUUUUUGGCUUCCAGGGUCAAAAAUGAAAAAAAAGGGCUUAUUUUAAAAUGGCUUAUUUUUUUCAUUUUCAAUUGAUUUUUAUGGUUGCGUGGGGUGUCUAAUUAUGGGAUCCUCUUAUUAUCUUGGGGAUCCUUUUUUUACCUUUCUUUUUGGGGGUUUCUGUUGAAGUGCAACAGAUGGCUGAGGUGGAAAUUUUUCCACCCGCCAUUUGUGCUUGAGAUAGCUGCUUCUUUUUUUGAUGCUUCUUGGAAUUGCUU
rnacentral:lncRNA from 1 species